UACGUAGGGUGCAAGCGUUGUCCGGAAUUAUUGGGCGUAAAGAGCUCGUAGGCGGCUUGUCACGUCGGGUGUGAAAGCCCGGGGCUUAACCCCGGGUCUGCAUUCGAUACGGGCUAGCUAGAGUGUGGUAGGGGAGAUCGGAAUUCCUGGUGUAGCGGUGAAAUGCGUAGAUAUCUGGAGGAACACCGGUGGCGAAGGCGGCAUUCUGGACCGAUAUUGACGCUGAGGAGCGAAAGCCAGGGGAGCAAACGGG
rnacentral:rRNA from 1 species